rnacentral:lncRNA from 1 species
AUGCUGCUACCUGCUCCAGAAGGCGUCCGGUGGCCGCUCCGCAGUUUCAGAGCAAGUUUCAGAUGUCCAGACUCCAAGUACCAGUUCCUUCCCAGUGUUCAGCCACUGUGUUGAUCCUCCACGGGGGCCUGCCACACACUGCUCUGGCAAGGCGUCCCACCGGGGCAAAUGCCUACCUGGGAGUGCUCUCAGGAUCCACGUUGCUCGGGCUGGCCAGAGUCCCCCACCGGAAUGUUCCACAGGGCAGGCUUAAGUCACCUAAGGAGCUGCCUCGACCAUCCACCAAUCACCUCACUUCCCAGUCAGGGAACCAGGAAAUGUAGCAGGACAAGCUGCAGACA